CCCAAAAUUCGGAGUAUUACAUCCUUCCUCCUUAUAAAAAUUUCCUCCUCGAAAUUACCUUGAACUUAGUUGAAAAGUUCUGGAUACUUGAUCUUGAUUUCCUUAUCUCUUUCCCAAGUUGACUUUUCGACAUUAUGGUUUCUCCAUUGAACUCUCAACUAACGGAAUUUCCUUUGUCCUCAGUUGGAUUCUGCGAUCCAAUAUUGCUAAUGGUUUUUUCUCAUAAGUCAUGUUUCGUUUGAUAUCCAAUGGUUGAUAACUAACCACAUGAUUUUGAUCUGACACAUAUUGUCGAAGCAUUG
rnacentral:lncRNA from 1 species